UUUAAAGCUUCCUCUGAGCCCUCGGCCCUCAAAGCUGCAACUUCAUACACGAGAGCUGUCGCCAUACAAUCUUUUUUUGUAGGGACAUUCUCAGAAACAAAGUUUUUUUUCUCAGGCACAAUGAACAAUAUAAACAGCAGGUGGUCCACAUUAGGGGAAGACGAGAAGCAGAAAUACUACAAGAGGCAGCAGCACUGAGGGGACAAGGGCAGGCUGAGGACCGUAGCCCUGAGAUGAGGCUCAAAAAUUAAAAAGCAACAAACCAGGGCGCUUGACAGAGGUGCAACGUACAACGACGAUUUGACACAGAACAAAGGAAGAACACGGACUAAAUACAUAUAUAUAUAUAUAUAUCUACAGCAGCUACUUCAGGAAGAGUGCUAAUCGUACAGCUGUACUGGCUACAGCAGAGUGCUUGGGCCUGGAUAACCUGAAAGUGAAGGAAGUGAAGGACAAUGAACUCAAGAAAUGACCAACAGCCAAGGGGAUGUAUGGCUUUCUGGCCACCUACCGCUUUGUGGCAUCGGUAUACCUGCAAGUGGAUGUGCUGCCACAUCUCAGCUGGCUGUCAAAGGUCUUCCAGAAGGAAAAUGUAAACUUGAGACCAUGAGACCAUCAGCCACCUGGGUCUUUCCUGUCAAAGCUCCACACAGACCUGGACAACCCUGUGGGACUCAGGGCUUAUAAUAUUGUCCAUGAGGAGGAGAGGAACAAGAGAGGAAGACGUAAA